rnacentral:rRNA from 1 species
AUACGGAGGGUGCAAACGUUGUUCGGAAUCACUGGGCGUAAAGGGCGCGCAGGCGGUUUGAUUAGUCAGAUGUGAAAGCCCACGGCUUAACCGUGGAAGUGCAUUUGAAACUGUCAGACUUGAGUACCUGAGGGGGUAGUGGAAUUCCCGGUGUAGAGGUGAAAUUCGUAGAUAUCGGGAGGAAUACCGGUGGCGAAGGCGACUACCUGGCUGGAUACUGACGCUGAGGCGCGAAAGCGUGGGGAGCAAACAGAAUUAGAAACCCCGGUAGUCC